CGCUUCCUGCCCGGUACGCGGACCUGUGCAUAGAAUAACCCUACAAUUUUAAAUCGGGAGUUUUGUUCCGGCGGUGGAACGCAGACCUCCCGGCCCUCGGGCCGGAAGCUGGGAGUACGAAGCCGCCGGGCGGACACCCACCUGUCUUUCGUAGGCAGGUUAUUUCUGCACUUUACGGCCGGGCGGGCCUUUG
rnacentral:other from 3 species